rnacentral:rRNA from 1 species
GACGUAGGGGGCGAGCGUUGUCCGGAUUUAUUGGGCGUAAAGAGCGCGUAGGCGGCCCGUUAAGUCGGAUGUGAAAACCCGUGGCUCAACCACGGGCCUGCAUCCGAUACUGGCGGGCUCGAGGCAGGCAGGGGAGAUCGGAAUUCCUGGUGUAGCGGUGAAAUGCGCAGAUAUCAGGAAGAACACCGAUGGCGAAGGCAGUUCUCUGGGACGGUACUGACGCUGAGACGCGAAAGCGUGGGGAGCGAACAGG